rnacentral:rRNA from 1 species
GAACGCUAGCGGCAGGCCUCAUACAUGCAAGUCGAGGGGCAGCAGGACACUUCGGUGUUGCUGGCGACCGGCGUACGGGUGCGUAACAUGUAUGCAAUCUACCUUGUACUAGAGCAUAGCCCUCGGAAACGAAGAUUAAUACUCCAUACAGUCUUACUAGCACCUGCUAGUAAGAUGAAAGCUCCGGCGGUACAAGAUGAGCAUGCACCCCAUUAGCUUGUUGGUGAGAUAAUAGCUCACCAAGGCUACGAUGGGUAGGGGUUCUGAGAGGAAAAUCCCCCACACUGGCACUGAGAUACGGGCCAGACUCCUACGGGAGGCAGCAGUAGGGAAUAUUGGUCAAUGGGCGCAAGCCUGAACCAGCCAUGCCGCGUGCAGGAUGAAGGCCCUCAGGGUUGUAAACUGCUUUUAUAUGGGAAUAAAAAAGUCCUUGCGAGGACUCUUGAAGGUACCAUAAGAAUAAGCACCGGCUAACUCCGUGCCAGCAGCCGCGGUAAU